rnacentral:rRNA from 1 species
UACGUAGGGUGCGAGCGUUAAUCGGAAUUACUGGGCGUAAAGCGUGCGCAGGCGGUUUUGUAAGCCAGAUGUGAAAGCCCCGGGCUUAACCUGGGAAUGGCAUUUGGGACUGCAAGGCUUGAGUGCGGCAGAGGAGACUGGAAUUCCUGGUGUAGCAGUGAAAUGCGUAGAUAUCAGGAGGAAUACCGACGGCGAAGGCAGGUCUCUGGGCUGACACUGACGCUCAGGCACGAAAGCGUGGGGAGCAAACAGG